GGGCUAUUCAGCUGAGAACAUCAUAUUUUGGAGGUGACAGAGUUCAGCCACCUGAAUGUAAGCCAUGCUGUCUCAGCUGGUUUCAGGGAUGGCUUGUUAGUCCCAGUGAAGUGCCACAUGAAAGCAUGAACCAGCUUGGGUCCAGCUCUGAGUCGACUAACAAGCCAACUUUGAACGCAGAAGGCUUUGAAGCACAGGGUAGAGACAAAGUAACUCUGCAAUAAUUAGCUCAAAGGCACUGCUGGACCAAACCCAAUCAAGCCUGGCUUGUCAUGAACUCACUCAGUGCGAAGGCACUUGGAAGUCUCUGAAUGCCCCUAAUGCAUGCUGUGAUAGCUCCUUUACCCAUGCUUUUCCACUGUCUGGGAAUGAGAAACCCCAUUUACACAGAACGUAAUCUUUUCCUAUUAUUGGUUAUGCUGGCAUUUAAUAUGAUGCAUAAUGUAAUUAAAAUUUCCCUGCAAUUGUGACAUUCAUAAUGUCUCCUCGCAUAAAAACUCUAAUUUACAAUAAUUUUCAGUAACAAAAUAUACCAUUUAUUUCCUCAUAUAAACAGCUGUUUUUUUCUGGCAAAUGUUAUAUCUCCAGUCACUGCAUCCUUGUAAAAAAUAACAAUAGACCCCAUUCGACUCCUUUUCAAUCCAACAACAAAUCUGAAUUCUGUGUAUUUGUUUUGCAAAGAAAUAAAUGAUUUUAGAUAUUACACCAAGCCUAGACAAACCUGCGUGAGACAAAUUCAGUACACCAUUUGGAGGUAUACAUUAAUGAUUUUUCCAUCUCUCAUUUUACAGCACUUGCUCCUGAAUCGAAAUUACAAUAGCCAGAUGACACAAAAUACGAAGCUGUCACAAUCUCACACUGUUGUUUUGAACUAGUGAAAAAAAUAUUGAGCUAAGUUUCCUUUGGCAGACUGUAUGCUGAAUCAGGCGUACAGUUUUCAUGAAACAUAAUGCUGGCAUAAACACGUGUCGUGUCAUAUGUCAUAAACAUAUGUCAGUUUACUCACAGGUAAUCUUUUAAGGAUAAACCCCUAUUCCCAGCUGCACAUGGAAAUCUAAGGAGAGAACGCAGUGAAGAAAAAAAAAGCAUUUUUUAUCUCAAUCCGCAUCCAUACUUGGCAGUCUUUUCUAUCUGAGUUAUCAGCAGUUAUAAUGCCCAUAAGAUACUCAUGCCAACAAAAGACCAGAUAAAGAGGGUCAGGCCAGAAGUCCGGCACUCCCCAAUGUCCUGUCAUCAAUGAAUACCCUCAGUUAUGACUCCCCCAGCCUGUACUUUCCCUUCCACUUUUUAUUUACAUUCUUCCCAUUAAGUCACAGAAUCUCUCAUCGAGUUCCUCUGAGAGUUGAGUCCAGCUAGCACUGGUUGGCCAGACUGCAUGGGCAAGGGCAAAGCCAGAAGGAAGAUGAAAAGGGAGGAUCCUGGCUGCUGUGGGUGCUGCUUCAUCCCUCAACAUACCUUUGUCUGGCAGGACACACCUUGGGGUAGCAUGCAUUCCUUCCUUGGACAGCUUCAGCAAACAGCAGACGUUGAGGUUCCUCUGCCCUGUGCCCCCUUCCACAGCCUGCUAGUUUCUUUUUGAUGCCUGGGGAAGAAAAGGAACAGCACAAGCUUUUCCCUAUGAGUCUCCCACCCUCCAACUGUUCUCAGCUUGGUGGAUUUCCGUAUUCUGUUUCUAUUACCGCUUUGUUCUCUUCCCCUCAGCUUCCUAAAUUAAGUACAUUGCUGAGAUCUUUCCUGGAAAAAAAAAAAAACAAACGUUGCUACGCUUUGUUCUGAUGAAAAAUUUACAUCAAUUUGAUGCAUUAAUACUUUUCCAAUCACAACACAGAAGAGCUGCCUUUCAGGAAACACAUUUAAGUUGUGUUUCUUUCAGCAUGGCUGGGAGCUGAGCACACACUGAAGUGUGUUGGCACCGACCUCUCCUAUAAAGCCAGAUACAGACUUGAGCUCCUAAACGGGUAGGUUUGGAUCAGUGAGGAGGAUGGUGGAAAGUCCCAGAGGAGAAGGCUGGGCUCAUUCAUUAGCCUAGCACGGGCAGUACCAAGUGUGGAAUUCAAAUGGUGCUUUCCUAGUCCUGAGUCCAGUAUCUGGAACCAUCCAGACUCAUAUUUGUAGUACUGAAUGAAGAGCAUGGCAAAACAGCAUGGUAAGAAUAAAAAGUCCUGUCCAUAUGUGACGGCAUUAACCAGUGCUGGAAUUCAGAGCAAAACAAUCUCUUGGGAAUGAGUAGUAUCAUUUAAAAGGAAAGAGUAGGCAGAAGUUUCCUCACGUCCAGGAAGUGUAGUGGGCAAACAGGGCACUGUGAGGACAAAGUGCCAGCCAGACAUACAUGGUGUUUGUGCCUGCCAGUGUCCCAGCCUCCAGCUGCUUUCAGCCUGGGGACUUCCUGCACCGUGUGGCUUGUUUAGAUCCAACCUGCAAUGGAUCACUUCUCUUGAAACUGUUUGAAGACACCUCUAAGUCAAGGCAGCAAAUUACAUUCCUGGUCUGGAUGCGACGCAUUCUGGCAACACUGUGCUCCUGCUUUAAACAGCUUCUCCUGCCCUCCAAACUGCUUUCAUGUGAAACACGGACGACACGAUUUAUGACAGACCUGACCAGCACAGCAAGACUGGCAAAAGCCGAAAGCACACGUGUAGCCUGAUGCACCUCUAUUGUAUGUACUUUCUGCCCAAAACAAAGCGACUUUAUCGCGUUUGCUUUCUAACACUGCGUUUGUGGUGCAUUUUCUUCUUCCACAACCGAGUAGGAAAACAGAUGUCUGGAACCCUUACGAUUACAGCACGAGCUGCUGGGUUUUGAUCAGCAAACUCGUUCGCAAACUGAACGACUUCAGCCUGAAACGUACUCAUCUUGCUGCAGACACCCAGCGCCACGUCUGUUCGUGCUUCCAGGGACCUUCAAGGCCGAAGACGGAGGAAAUGCCUGAAUUUCCCCCGGCCCCUCCUCGCCUCUCGCCUGCCUUGGCAGCCAAUCCUCGCCUGGGGAGGGGGGGCGCUGGAGACAGCCCCAACCCAGCGUUUGUUUUAACAAACAUUUCUCACUGCCUAUGAGGAAACAUGCUGCUGCCCAGCGCUCGGGGAGGGUGGGAUUUCCUUCCUAUUGUCUGCCUGGCUCAGCCCGCACUGCUUCGGAGCAGAGUUGUGCAUUAACUGUUUCGAGCUCUGGGUUCUUUUUCCUGUUGGAAAGUUAAUGGCCAAAAGAGGUCUGUAAAGCAC
ensembl:lncRNA